GACGAACGCUGGCGGCGUGCCUAAUACAUGCAAGUCGAACGCAGUGGGGACGGGUGAGUAACACGUGGGUAACCUCCCAUCAGAGGGGAUAACACUUGGAAACAGGUGCUAAACCGAUACUGAUGGAUGGACCCGCGGUGCAUUAGCUAGUUGGUGAGGUAACGGCUCACCAAGGCCACGAUGCAUAGCGGACGUGGGAGAGGGAUCGGAAAAAGUGGAACUGAGACACGGACAAGACUCCUACGGGAGGCAGCAGUAGGGAAUCUUAGGCAAGGGACGAAAGUCUGACCGAGCAACGCGGCGGGAGGGAAGAAGGUUUUCGGAUCGUAAAGCUCUGUUGUUAGAGAAGCGGUAUCUAACCAGAAAGCCACGGCUAACUACGUGCCAGCAGCCGCGGUAAUAC
rnacentral:rRNA from 1 species